rnacentral:misc_RNA from 1 species
GUAUUUAUUAUAGUAGAUUACAUUCAUUACAUUAUGUUUGUUUGGUGCCCGAAGGCAAAUAGUUCACAGGUGUAUAGGAUGAUAAAAGCUAGGCUCGAAAGCUUCGCCAUUUAUUAAUGAUCCUUCCGCAGGUUCACCUACGGAAA